CAAUAAGUGGUUGAUGCAAUCACAUGUUGACGAUGGAAUAGUCAGUGCGACCGUAGAGACGUGGCUGCAAUGAUGGAACUACACAUUCACAUUUUCCCAAUGAUGAUGGUUAGUUUUAUCUUUGAUAUUUAUCCAUUCUAAAAGGGAGACUCCAUCGGUAGGCGCCGUAGAUUUUGAUAAUCUAUUGAAAUUUGAUUAAUAAACCUUAAUCCCUAUUUUUUCAUUGUUUUCAUUGUCUCCGAUUCCUUUCUGAUUUAUGUUUUCAGAUGGCAGUGAACUAAGUAUGGAGAAAUCCACCAUAAAAGGCUAGAAAGAUAUUUAAUGUUGUAUCUGUUUAUUUCAUUUCAUCAUUCUUUUACAAAACUACUGACCUGCCAAUAUUUUUUUAGUUAUUAGAAUUUUGGUCUUCAGUUAAUUGUCCACUAUUGAUUUACUUUUCGUAUGAAGGUAAGUAUCAACAGAUGUUGAUUAAAAACGUACAUCAGAGGCUUUGGAGAGAAGAAAAUAAAAGUCAUGAAUACCAGAUGAUCAUGUCAGUAAUAUGAAAACCAUAUUAUUAGCGUGCACACAAAAAUUUGAAGAAUAUCGACCUUCCCAUCACCGAUUCACACUCUUCCCAUUCCCUGACUUUCGAACCGGAUAUCUCUUCGAUCUCUGAUCAGCCUGAUUCCGACAAGUCAUUUUACGGUCUGAACCUCCGUUCUGGGAAUUCUAACUGUAUCAGGCAACGAUAUUCUUGAAGUGAAAGAGAGUAUCAGAGAGGAGACGAGAUUGCGUGGUACACUGAUGGGGUUAAGAUUGUGAGGUACGUAAUGUUUGAGAUAUUCAUGUGGAGUCUACAUAUUAUUGCGAAUUGCAAAAUUGCAAAGGAGGAGCGCAGAGCAGCCGUUGGGUUUCGAUUGAAAAAAGGGAAAACUGGCCUUCUCAGGCUAAUUUGAACAUGAAUGAGCCAACCAUACAUGGAUUGCUGACUGGUGAAUUUGCUGACGAUUCUGACAACUGGAAAUCAGCUGUUCAAAACUAUUGGUCACUCCUUUGACCUCUAAGAUUUUCUGAUCAUCCAAAGAGGGUUGGUGAUAAGGACUUUGUCACCUUACAACAUGUUCAGAAAUAUUCUAGACAUGAAUGCUAAUUUCGGUGGCUUUAACUGUGCAUUAUUGCAAGCAAGAAAGUCUUUGUGGGUCUGAAUUUUGAAGACAGUCACAUAACUACUUGGCUUGGAAAUCUUCUUGCUGUGCCCGAUCUCCGUAAAGAGUGGCAUGAAAAUUUGAGCUCACAUGUUGGCUCACACUCACAGAAGAACAAGCUGUUGAAUGUUGCGCUUGAUAUGGCUAAGAGAGAAGCAGAAACUGUAAUUCAUGCUACACUACUAGGGGCUUGGAUGUGGUGUUUUUCCAAAGUAGAUUAACUAGAAAUGGGGGUUGGCCCUGCGGUCUAUUUCUCUGGACCUGAUACAUGAUGACUCUGACUCUGUCUUUUAUUUGUAAUUUUUUGGCAUCCCUUAUGCCUAUCUUUUAAUUCAAGUUUCUUUUCCCUUUAA